rnacentral:tRNA from 1 species
GCCCUCGUAACUCAGUUGGUUAGAGUAUCCGCCUUUUAAGCGGAGAGUCGAUGGGUUCAAGUCCCUCCGGGGGUA